rnacentral:rRNA from 1 species
UUGCACGCUGGCGGCAGGCCUAACACCUGCAAGUCGAAUGGUAACAGGAAACAGCUUGCUGUUUCGCUGACGAGUGGCGGACGGGUGAGUAAUGUCUGGGAAACUGCCUGAUGGAGGGGGAUAACUACUGGAAACGGUAGCUAAUACCGCAUAACGUUGCAAGACCAAAGAGGGGGACCUUCGGGCCUCUUGCCAUCAGAUGUGCCCAGAUGGGAUUAGCUAGUAGGUGGGGUAACGGCUCACCUAGGCGACGAUCCCUAGCUGGUCUGAGAGGAUGACCAGCCACACUGGAACUGAGACACGGUCCAGACUCCUACGGGAGGCAGCAGUGGGGAAUAUUGCACAAUGGGCGCAAGCCUGAUGCAGCCAUGCCGCGUGUAUGAAGAAGGCCUUCGGGUUGUAAAGUACUUUCAGCGGGGAGGAAGGGAGUAAAGUUAAUACCUUUGCUCAUUGACGUUACCCGCAGAAGAAGCACCGGCUAACUCCGUG